rnacentral:tRNA from 1 species
GCCGGCUUAGCUCAGUUGGUAGAGCAACCGCCUUGUAAGCGGUAGGUCGCGAGUUCGAAUCCUGCAGCCGGCA